GAUGACGCUGGCGGCGUGCCUACUACCUGCAGGUCGAACAAGGGGCGGACGGGUGAGGAAUGUCAGGGAAACUGCCCGAUAGAGGGGAAUAACUACUGGACACGGAAGAUAAUACCGCAUACCAUCGGAUGUGCCCAGAUGAGAUUAGAGUGUAGGUGAGGUAACGGCCCACCUAAGAGACGAUACCUAGCUGGUCUGAGAGGAUGACCAGCCAAACUGUCACUGAGACUAGGUCCAGACUCCUUCGCGAGCGAGCACUGGGGAAUAUUUCACAAUGGGCGCAAGCCGUAUGCAGCAAUGCCGCGUGUAUGAAGAAGGCCUUCGGGUUGUAAAGUACUUUCAGCGGGGAGGCGUUACCCGCAGAAGAAGCACCGGCUAACUCCGGGCCAGCAGCCGCGGUAAUAC
rnacentral:rRNA from 1 species